rnacentral:tRNA from 1 species
UGAGGCAUCGCCAAGCGGUAAGGCAACGGACUCUGACUCCGUCAUUCCAAGGUUCGAAUCCUUGUGCCUCAG